rnacentral:misc_RNA from 1 species
GUAAAUUUGUGGAGUACCUUCCACAAGAUACAAGAAAAAUACUUGUUUCUCACCUCAAAUGGCGGUUCCGAUUGAAGAAGCCAUAGCUGCACUAUCCACAUUUUCUCUAGAGGAUGAUCAACCUGAAGUACAAGGCCCAGGGUUUUGGGUUUCAGCUGAAGGAGGUGCAACUAUUAGUCCAAUCGAGUACAGUGAUGUGGCUGCAUAUAGGUUGUCCUUAUCAGAAGAUACUAAAGCUAUUAACCAGCUGAACACACUUAUACAAGAGGGGAAGGAAAUGGGUUCCGUGCUCUACACAUAUAGAAGUUGUGUUAAAGCACUUCCUCAGCUUCCAGAUUCUAUGAAGCAAAGUCAGGCCGACCUGUAUCUUGAAACUUACCAAGUUUUGGAUUUGGAAAUGAGCCGUCUACGUGAAAUUCAGAGAUGGCAAGCAUCCGCAGCAUCUAAGCUGGCAGCUGACAUGCAACGUUUUUCCAGACCUGAGCGUCGUAUUAAUGGUCCCACAGUAACUCAUCUUUGGUCCAUGCUGAAAUUACUUGAUGUUCUGAUCCAGCUUGAUCAUCUUAAAAAUGCAAAAGCUAGUAUACCUAAUGACUUCUCUUGGUACAAAAGGACAUUCACACAAGUUAGUGUGCAGUGGCAAGAUACAGAUUCAAUGAGAGAGGAGUUGGAUGAUUUACAGAUCUUCUUGAGCACGAGGUGGGCUAUUUUGUUGAACUUGCAUGUUGAGAUGUUCCGUGUCAACAAUGUUGAAGACAUUCUUCAAGUUCUAAUUGUUUUCAUAGUCGAGUCUUUGGAGUUGAAUUUUGCACUUUUAUUUCCGGAGAGGCACACACUUCUUCGUGUUUUGCCUGUCCUUGUUGUCCUAGCGGCAUCAUCAGAGAAAGAUAGUGAAUCAUUGUACAAAAGGGUGAAAAUCAACAGACUUAUGAACAUAUUUAAGAAUGAUCCUGUGGUACCUGC